rnacentral:rRNA from 1 species
AGCGAACGCUGGCGGCAGGCUUAACACAUGCAAGUCGAGCGGGCACUUCGGUGUCAGCGGCAGACGGGUGAGUAACACGUGGGAACGUACCCUUCGGUUCGGAAUAACGCUGGGAAACUAGCGCUAAUACCGGAUACGCCCUUUUGGGGAAAGGUUUACUGCCGAAGGAUCGGCCCGCGUCUGAUUAGCUAGUUGGUGGGGUAAUGGCCUACCAAGGCGACGAUCAGUAGCUGGUCUGAGAGGAUGAUCAGCCACACUGGGACUGAGACACGGCCCAGACUCCUACGGGAGGCAGCAGUGGGGAAUAUUGGACAAUGGGCGCAAGCCUGAUCCAGCCAUGCCGCGUGAGUGAUGAAGGACUUAGGGUUGUAAAGCUCUUUUGUCCGGGACGAUAAUGACGGUACCGGAAGAAUAAGCCCCGGCUAACUUCGUG